CGCGAGAGCAAGCGGACCUCAUAAAGUGCGUCGUAGUCCGGAUUGGAGUCUGCAACUCGACUCCAUGAAGUCGGAAUCGCUAGUAAUCGUGGAUCAGAAUGCCACGGUGAAUACGUUCCCGGGCCUUGUACACACCGCCCGUCACACCAUGGGAGUGGGUUGCAAAAGAAGUAGGUAGCUUAACCUUCGGGAGGGCGCUUACCACUUUGUGAUUCAUGACUGGGGUGAAGUCGUAACAAGGUAACCGUAGGGGAACCUGCGGUUGGAUCAC
rnacentral:rRNA from 1 species